AAAUAGCCCUGAUAGCAGUGAAAAUCCUUUAUGUUUUUAUUUUUAAAAAACAUAAAGAUUGUAACGAAUAGCAGGAAACAGC
rnacentral:sRNA from 1 species